UUGUUGUUUUUUAUUUCUUUGUUAUGACAUUUUAUUUCAUUGGUAUGAUAUUUAUUUUUAUAAUAGUAUUGUAUUGAUUACUUUUUUACGAGGUUGAUUUUUUGAUCUCAAAAAUAUUAGGAUCAGCAAUGGCAAGAUUUUCCAGAGGAAAGAGAGUAUUUUUAUAUAGUGCAAAGUUUUUCCGCAGAAAAGAAAAAAGGUUGUUUUAAGAAAAGCUACUAAAAAAGAUUCCUUAUCGAAUGGAAAGUCUCCCAUUACUGAGGAAGAAUUUCAGAAGAAAGUUUUAAAUGCAUUGGUAGAAAUAAAAGAGAUGUUAAUAAAGCUCUUUCCAUUAAUUAAAAUAAUAUCACGACAAAUAGUCCUAAUAUUUUAUGGAUGAAUUCGCAGCAGUCAUUUAGUGAUUAUGAUAACAGUUUUAAUGAUUUUUGGGGAUUAUGAUAACAGUUUAAACGGGUGAUGUCUGAAGUGGUUGUUGACCAAUGGUUUAUAAUCAAAAUUUAAUAUGCCUGGCGGUAAGAAUAAUGAGAAGUUUGAAGGAACAAACAUUAGUAAGGUUGUUACGGAGAUCGUCAUGUCAAUUAAAGCGAUUGCUGCAGUUGCCGAAAUAA